GGAAUAUUGGACAAUGGGCGAAAGCCUGAUCCAGCCAUGCCGCGUGAGUGAUGAAGGCCCUAGGGUUGUAAAGCUCUUUUGUGCGGGAAGAUAAUGACGGUACCGCAAGAAUAAGCCCCGGCUAACUUCGUGCCAGCAGCCGCGGUAAUACGAAGGGGGCUAGCGUUGCUCGGAAUCACUGGGCGUAAAGGGUGCGUAGGCGGGUCUUUAAGUCAGGGGUGAAAUCCUGGAGCUCAACUCCAGAACUGCCCUUGAUACUGAAGGUCUUGAGUUCGGGAGAGGUGAGUGGAACUGCGAGUGUAGAGGUGAAAUUCGUAGAUAUUCGCAAGAACACCAGUGGCGAAGGCGGCUCACUGGCCCGAUACUGACGCUGAGGCACGAAAGCGUGGGGAGCAGA
rnacentral:rRNA from 1 species